UACCAACACCCCGAGUGGUCGGGACGAUUAUUGGGCCUAAAGCGUCCGUAGCCGGUCCUGCAAGUCCUCCGUUAAAUCCACCCGCUCAACGGUUGGGCCGCGGGGGAUACUACAGGGCUAGGAGGCGGGAGAGGCGAGCGGUACUCGAUGGGUAGGGGUAAAAUCCACUGAUCCAUUGAAGACCACCAGUGGCGAAGGCGGCUUGCCAGAACGCGCUCGACGGUGAGGGAUGAAAGCUGGGGGAGCAAACCGG
rnacentral:rRNA from 1 species